GCUUCGCUUUCUUUUGGUUUAUCUUCAUGGAGAUGAUCACCAGGACUCUGAUGAGUUUUGUCGCAACACACUCUGUGCACCUGAAGUUAUUUCACUAAUAAACACUAGGAUGCUCUUCUGGGCAUGCUCUACAAACAAACCUGAGGGAUACAGGGUCUCACAGGCUUUACGAGAGAACACCUAUCCAUUCCUGGCCAUGAUUAUGCUGAAGGAUCGAAGAAUGACUGUGGUGGGACGGCUAGAAGGCCUCAUUCAACCUGAUGACCUCAUUAACCAACUGACAUUUAUCAUGGAUGCUAACCAGACUUACCUGGUGUCAGAACGCCUAGAAAGGUACAAGGGAGUUUCCUUCUGGAACAAAGAGAGACCAGUUGUAAAUUUGAAGGGCUGACCUCUGGGGCUCUACCAAUCCUGACUUCUUCUGUGCAUCAGGCCGCUAUUAGCUUUUAGCUUUGCCCAUUUAUUGUCAAAAUAUUUACAUAUAUAGACCUAAAUUACUCUAUAUCAGGUAAUCUGUUCUUAGAGAUGUUCAAAAUAAAGACAAGGGCUGGGUGCAGUGGCUAACACCUGAAAUCCUAGCACAUUAGGAGGCUGAGGCAGGAGGAUUACUUGAAUCCAGACUGGGCAGCAAAGCGAGACCCCAUCUCUACAAAAAA
rnacentral:sRNA from 1 species